CAGUCUUCAAAAAGAGCUGCCACUCAUUUGGUUACACUAUAGAACUUUCAUACUGAUAACAAUCUAGGAAAAUAGAUACUCUUACAUCUACCAGAUUUAUUUAACGCUUUCCACAUGUUGCCUGCCAGCUACUGAGUUUGAAAGAGAUUGCAUGUAGAGUAUAAAAGAUGAUUAGUGCAUGAGAUAGACAGCAAUACAGGGGGCUGUGCCUGGGAUCACAGAAAGGACAGACUCCUCCAGCACUGGAGGAAGCUGUAUCCAAAAUGUGGCGUUUGCCUUGGGUCAUGAAGGCGAUACAGCAUUCAAGAUGGUGAAGAAAGGAUAGGAUAUUCAAGACAGAGAGUGAUAUGUACAAAGUGAAAAUGGGAUGUGCUCUGUGGCACAGUCAUGUGACUUUUAAGCAAAGGUGGAAGAGGGGUCUUAAAAAGUCUGAGUGUAGAUUUUAUAGCACAAUGUUAAGAAGACUUUAUUUUCCAAGAUAAGUAUUUCUUGGCAGUGGAAUACCUAAUUCUAUUUUUACUUUUUCAGGAUAAUUCUGAACCCUCUUUAGAAGAAAUUAAAGGAUCACAACUAAGGCAGUGCCAAAUAGAAAUCAGAUCAACUCCAAAGGUUGAUCAUGAAAGUUAUGUUCAUGCUGGAAGAAUACUAACAGUGGCAUCUUUUUUCUCUUGUUUCAGGUCCAUCUCUCACGGAGGCUGGAGGCCAGCAUGCACAGCAGGACAGCAUGGAUUGAGUGGGCACAGCGCCCAGUGAAGGCGCCGGAGACUCUCGCCGUCCCAGAAUCACCCCUUUGGCCUUCACCUCCAUUGUCUUUGCCCAGCCUCUUAGAAGGAAUUGAACCCAGGGCCUUGUGUAUGCUAGGCAAGCACUCUGACAACUGAGCUGUAAUCCCAGCCCAAAAACAGUCUUUUUAAGCUUGUCCUUUCAACAAAUCAUUCUGGAGCACCCGGAUAUUCAUGAGGGAAAAAACAACCAAUGUUUCACACCAUUUUCAAAAAUCAGUUUGAGAUGAAUUAUAAGAAUAAAUACAAAGAAAAAACAAAUUUGCAGCCCACGCUUCCUGACAUCAGAAUGUACUCCAAAGCUGCAGUUGUCAGUACCAUACUGGCAGUAAAUGAACAUGGGGCAGUGGAAUUGAAUUGAGAACCCAGAAAUAAACCCAUUUAUCUGUGGCCAGUUGGUUUUUGACUAAGGUGCAAAGGCUACUCAAUGGGGAAAAGAAUCUCUUCAACAAAUGGUGCCAGUUGGAUAUCUACAUGCAAAAGAUGAAGUUGGACCUCUGCUAACACCGUAUACAAAAAUUAACCCAAAAUUAACCCAAAAUUGAUCAACAAACUAUAAGAGAUGAAUUUAUAAAACUCUCUGAAAGAGAUGGUGGGGUGAAUAUAUGUGAUCUUGGAUUUGGCUGUGGAUAAAUAUGCACCUAGCACUUGAGCAACAGCAACAAAAAAUACAGACUUCAUCAAAACUCAAAACUUGUGUGUGUUAUCAACAAUGUAGAAAACAGUCUGCAGAUGGGAGUGUAUUUGCAAAUUGUAUACAGUGGUCUGUCAUCAUCUUUGGGGGAUUGGUCCCAGGACUCCCCUGUGAGUACCAAAGUCCACAGAUGUGUAAGUCCCUUAUCUAAAAUGGCAUAACAUUUGAAUAUAACCUACAUUCAUCCUCCCAUAUACUUUAAAUCACCUCUGGGAUUACUUAUAUCUAAUAAAAUGUAAAUGUCACGUAAAUAGCUGUUACGAGGCAUUUUUAAGGAAAGCAACAAGAAAAGUACUUGUUCACUCAUUGAAUUGUCUUCCCAUGUAUUUUCCAUCCACAGUUGGAUCCAUCAUGCAGAGCCCACUGAUUCAGUGUUGACUAUUGUUUGAUAAGGGUCUAGUAUCCAGAAUACUCUUAUAACUCAACAACAAGAAAAGGAAGAGCUAACUUCUUAAAUGGGUGAAAUAUUUGGAUAAACAUUUCUCCAUUAAGAUGUAUAAGUGGAAGCUGGGUGCAGUGGAUACUUUGUAAACCCAGUGACUCUCAGGAGACUGAGGCAGGAGAAUGGCAAGUUCAAGCCCAGCUUUUGCAACUUAAUGAAACCCUGCCUCAAGAUAAAAACUAAAAAGGACUGGGAGUAUAACUCCAUGAUAGAGUGCCCCUGGGUUCAAUCCCCAGUACUGGGGGAAAGAAAAACUACAAGUGCCCAAAAAGCACAUGAAAAGAUGCCCCAUCAUCAUUCAUCACUGGGAAAGUGCAGGUCAAAAAGCCCAGUGAGACAUCUGUAUCACUGGAAUGUCUAAUUUUACUAAAACAAAACCAGAAAGUAUUGUUGAGUGUCCUGUUGAUUGAAUAGUAUGCACGCACACUUCGUGUCCUUUCAGAAUUCCAGAAUGUGAUGUUAUUUGAGAGUAGAGAAAUCACUGAAGAUGAGGUCAGACUGGAUUGGGAUGGGCCCUAAGCCCAACAACUGGUGUCAUGAUUGUAGAAAGGUCAUUUGAAACAGGCAGAGAUUAGAGGUGCCAGGAGUAACUAGAAGCUGGGAAAGAGUCUUCCCUAGGGGUUGACUCACUGCCCUGCCAGCAUCUCAGUUUUGGAUUCUUGCCUCCAGAACCAUGAGAACAUAAAUGGGUAGUUUUGAGCCUCCCAGUGCUUUGUGAUAAUUUGAUAGGGCAGCCCCAGAAAACUAAUACCCUUGUACAUUGCUGGUAUGAUGUUCUGCUAUGGAAAAUGGUUUGGUGUUUCCUUAAAGUACCUGCUGGUUCACUCAUAGGUUUAUACCUAGAAGAAUUGAAAAGGGUUAUUCAUACACACACCUGCACGUGAGUGUUCAUAGCAGCGCAAUUCCUAGUAGCCAAAAGAUGGAAAGAACUCAAAUGUGCAUUCUUGGAGGAGUGGAUAUGCAAAAUGUGAUUGCUCAGAGGAAGGUCACUCAACAAUGAAAAAGGAAUAAACACUGAUACAUACUAUAGUGUGGAUGAGCCUCAGAAAUAUGCUAAGUGAGAAGCACAUAUUUUAUGAUUCUGUUUAUUAUAAAGUGUUGAGAAUGGAAAAGCCAUGGAGACUGAAAGCAGACUGGUGAUUGGCAGGAGCUGUGAGAGAAUGGAGCAGAGGGACUGCUUCACAGCUAUAGGGUUUCUUUGGGGAUGAAAUGUUUUGAAACUAAUAGUUGUACAGCACUGCAGAAGUAUUAAAUGCCAGUUGUACACUUUGAAAUGGUUCAGUUUGUGUUAAAUGAAUUUCAGCUCAAUUUAAAACCAUAAAGCUUUCAGAGGAAAUAUAGAAAAAUAAAUUUUCUACUUAGACAAAACCUUUCUUAAAUAAAACAGAGAAAGCAGAAACCAUUAAAAAAAAAAAAAAGAUAAACAGACUAGGGAAAUAUAUUGUGAGGCAUUUUUAAGACCACUUGAGGUUUGGGGCCAUGAACCUAAAAUAACACCUGUGAGCAUGGUCGUGUGUGUGAGCUGCACCAGGGCAGGUGUGGUGUGGACAGAGUUAGAUUUCUUCCAGAUUAGUAGCUUUACAAGGUAAGUAAGAUGAAAUGAAAGAGGGGCAAGGAUUUAAGAACAUUGUGCAAGGGAGCGACUGUAAUAAUGACGAGUGGAAUUUAAACCAGGCAAGUGGUGAACCGAUAUUAUUGGAGCAGGAGGUAAGACAGCAAGACCUGGUAAGGUGAGGUCAUUGUGGGGCAGGAUGGACCUCAGGAUGGUUGAAGUUGAGCCCUAGGGUCUAUUCUGACACAUUAUGAUGCUAUCUGGUAAUACACCUAAGUGUAUCAUAAAUCGCUGUUACAUAGAAUUGAAAAUUCAUGAAAGGGGCCUUGAAAGUGAAUCCAGGCUGUUCGAAGCUGUUCCAUUCCUCCUCGGUCCUGAGAAGCUCGCAGGAAGCUGCUUUUGAGUGGCCUCAGAGUGGUGCUCCUCCGUUUCAAGGAUGAGUUAGGGAGUGCAGGAUAGGAAUGCCAGUGCUGUGGCCAGUGUGGGAGGAAAGGCAGGAUCUCAGUUGUUUGCUUUUCAGUAUUUGAGAUUAAAAGAUUGUGAUUAAAAAGUAGUAUUCAAAAUAUCAUAAAUUCUUAGAGCAAAGGGCAAGUUUGGUAUUUUCUCUGAACUUGGCUUCCAAGCUUUAAGUCACUGGGGAUCAUGCCUCCCAGUACAGUAGUUUUAUAGAUGGCUUCUCAGGGAGUACUUUAAGAGUUCUAUUUAUUGGGCUAAAGUCAUUCUCUUGUAGCUUCCUAUUAAUUCAUUUUGGGUGCAAAUUCCAGAAUAUUACGUAGAGUCAGUUGCUUCCUUUUUUUUUUUGUACUG